rnacentral:lncRNA from 1 species
CCGUACCACAGACGAAUAUUAUUAUCACGUCAUACACGGACCUCGCGUUCCCCUUCCUUCUAGGGUCACACGUUUGUGCCGACAUCGCGUUAAAAAAAUGAGAUAGCCAAUAAGCCGAGCGUAAUGUUUUUUUUUUCUACGAUUGGACCUACACUAACUGCGCAGUACGUUUUCCCGCUUAACAACGCGUCGUUAUCUUUUUGUUAGUCUUGAGAUUCUCUCUCGCUCCGUCGCACCGUUUUAAACGCUUUUAAAUACGUCGUCUUUUUCCGUAACAAAGUAUUGCCCUCUGCUACUAUCGGCUCGUUUUUUUUUUUAUAGGCCAACGUCCUGCGUCUAUACCAAUAUCCAACAGCGGUUUAUACUAUCGACAACUUGCUCGAACAAUCGUUAAACCGUUUAUUUCAGAUUCCGAGCGAAGCGAUUGGUUCAACCGUAUUGACUUGAAAACUGUAUAGGAACUCGUUUGCAGGUUCGUUGCAGUUUACUUAACAAACGGCAAAAAACCAAUCGUUUUCGCAUACAUUUGGUCGAUAUCUGUGUUACUUCGACAACGGAAAAACUAAAACGACUGAUCAUAAUAUCACAUACUCUGCUUGUAACCGUUUACCGUCGCGUACGGACAUCAUUGCACUAUAAUGCAAUGUUGUCAGUAUAGCCCCGUCUUAGAACGGCGGCACGCGCGUCGGCUUCAGCUUUCGAUAAAAAAAAAAAAAAAAUAAUAAUAAUUCUAUUUCUAAAACCUAUACCGGGGUCGUCGAAAACGCGUAUUCGACACUUUACGCCGAUACACGCGUAUAUAUUAUGUUAUCUAACACACGCGGGCGAAUAACACGUUAGUUACAAUAAUAUACGUCACGAUAUUUAGGUCAAUUAAAAAAAAAAAAAAAAAAAAACCAAACCAAACCAUCAUUAUAUCCGCGAAUAAUUAUUUAUACGCGCUCGGCGAGCGUAUCGCAAUGGACAUUAAAUUACGACGAGUAGGUAUGUACGAGUACGGGUAGGUACACGCGAGUAUAAUAAUAAUACUAUACGGAUAGGUACCGUUUUAACAUAUAAUGUAUUACGAUAAUAUACGGCGACGUAUUAUUAUUCAAAUGAAUCGGUUUUGAAUUGCUGCGCGGCACCGUCGGCCGGCAACCCAUUCGGGUGAUAAAUUAUACGCGCCGCGUGCAAAUACGCGCGCGGUUGUAAAAUACCUGUAUCGCGGAUACGUUGUAAUAUUGCAGAUACGGGAGGUGGUGCGCUCUUUCGACGGUGUUUCGCGGCUGUUAAUCAAUAUCGCCAGCGCCGACGACUACAAACUGCGGAACGUUUUCGUACUACGCCGUGUCCGAACCACCGUACCCGUGACGCCCCGUGAUAAAUCGCGUACGGGUACGACCGUUGCGUACGCUGCGCGAUACUCGUCGAAAAAUAAUAUACGGCCCGCCGUCAAUCUCCUCCGUUAUUACGCCCGCGAAAAUUGUUACUCAAUAGCCGCGGCAUAACGUCACGAGCGCAGUACGUACGAUAAUACCGAUAGUAACAACACGCGCGGCACAACCAGUUUUCGCGGCGAGUCGAGGCCAACGCGACCGCAUCACGUUUGGUGUACAACCUUUGGGUCCCCGGGGUGAGAAGGGCUCGUUUCGGGUUUUCGGCAUUUUUUUUUUUUUUCUCAAAAAAAAAACAAAAAAUUUCGUCCGGUGUAAUUUUGAUUGUCGGUCUAAAUUAGACGUUUUUCGGAAUUCAAUCCGUUCGUAUUGAAAACUGUACACGUCAUAGUCGACUCGAGCCCUUAUUUUUCUCCGGCACCAAGCGUAUGUAGUAGGCUAGAGGACAAAUAAUAUUCGAACGCGUAUAUUACGCGCAAUAAUGUACCCGAACACUUUACUAUGCUACCGGACAACAAAAACCCGAUCGGUUACACAGGCUUAGAAUCACGCAGUGACCGACCCGACACGGUUUUUCCAUUAUCCCCUCCACUGGCUUAUCAAUUUAAACCAGUCGUGAUUGUUCAUCGAACAUGUUUCGGGUUUACACUUCGAACACAGUAAUUCUCUCGGAACAUUAUUGUCUAUCGGAUUUUUCGGAUCGACAGGUAUUCGUUACGCAGGUUGGCAUUAUUUUUUAUUUUUGGUGGUUUUCGGCGAUAAUGUCCCGCGACAUACCCUAUAGCCGGGAAUUAGGUUAGGUCGGUAAUUUUCGCACAUUUCGUUUACGAUGUACACGUACAUACAGUAACCGAUCGAAUACCCGUAAUUACUUCUUUGUUUUCGUCCGGUGUAUCCCGAACAAGUCAUUAAAUAAUACCUCUCUUCUCGGCCUCCGCAUCUCCCCCGCAUCAUAUCCGUCCGCGUCGUUUCUUCCUUCGCCCGUUCCGCGCGUCCUCGCGUCUCCGCUCCGAAAAACUACCGACUUUGCAGUUUAGCCGAUCGCCCACCGUCCGCAUCAUCUUUUGAUUUCGCCGCAACACCGCGACACAUAAGUAUAAUGCGCACUGUUCCCGUAAUGCAAUGUCCUUGUAUUAAUCAUAGACAUAUUAAUAAACGGACCGCGCUCACAGAAGGAAACGCGAAACCCAUAUUGAGUGAGAGAAACAGCGUUAAUUAGGGGCAGUCAUGGAAAGAACGAUUGAAUAUUUUAAUUUACACCAUGAAAUUAUUAUCGUUUAUCAGCGAACCGCUUUAAUUUAAUCUGUUACAGUAGAAAUAAUAACAAUACAUUUCACGGUGAAACAAAAAUUUAAAAGUCCACGGUCGCCCCAAUAACUAUCGCUGUCCUUCUCAUUCAAUAUCGUUCGCGAAAGCCAAUAGACGAGACGCGAGGAAAGCGCGGUCCGUUUAUUAAUAUGCCUAUGCAAUUAA